rnacentral:rRNA from 1 species
UACGUAGGGCGCAAGCGUUGUCCGGAAUUAUUGGGCGUAAAGAGCUCGUAGGCGGCCUGUUGCGUCCGCUGUGAAAUCCCGGGGCUCAACCCCGGGCCUGCAGUGGAUACGGGCUGGCUAGAGGCAGGCAGGGGAGAACGGAAUUCCUGGUGUAGCGGUGAAAUGCGCAGAUAUCAGGAGGAACACCGGUGGCGAAGGCGGUUCUCUGGGCCGAUAUUGACGCUGAGGAGCGAAAGCGUGGGGAGCAAACAGG